AUGGGUUCCAUUUCUGGAACUGGGGCCAGGACAAGGGGUUCCAACAUCUCUUGGCAAACUCUCCCUGAGGCAGUGAGCUGUGACAGCAUAGUCAUUGUUGCUGGUCUUCUCUCAUCUCUCUGUUGGAAGAAAUGGAAGCAAAGAGAUGAGACACAGACAUGGGGCCAAGUCAACAAAAGAGCUAUACUUACCACCCCAGAUCUUUCUGCCCUGCUUUCUAGUAAGGUGAAGGUGAGGACAGUCUGUUCUGAAGGUCUACACAUUAAUGCUUCCUAAUCGGAAUUCAAAUCAGCAAUUUGUUCUUCUGGUUGUUCAAGUCUUCAAAAUAGAGGGAAGAUACCUGGAUGAAACAUUUUCACAGAGUCUGCAAUUCCCUUAAGAGGAUCCCAGAGCCCUUAAGCUUCUCUUAGAUUCCUCUGAGUUUUUUCAGCCCAAGGACUGUUACCACAUGUCCUCCAUCUUGUCCACAAUUUUAGCAGGUGUGUGUAGGUGGAGCUCAAAGUUAAAAAUAACUCCAGUAAACUCACAUAUCUUUUUUCACAAAUUGCUGUUCUGUUGAAACUCUUAAAUAGCCAGCAUUUUGCUGAGUAGUUAAACAGAACUAGAAACAGAGACAGUGGUGCCACUAAUAACUACACUGUGCCUCUACCCCCUCACCCUAACACCAACCUCUCUAAACCACAUAGUAGCAAUGUGAUCAUAAUUACCUAUGUACAUAAAGCACCAAGAGUAUAAUGUAAUCUUUAUUGGCAACAAUUCCAAUGUUGGAUCACGUGCUGAAAAAAAUGGAUGUAACACUAAUGAGCUUCUUAUAGCAUAAAUUCCAACAAAUAGGUUAUGUAGCUUCAGUACCUUAAAUAAGAGAACAGCCUGACUCCAGAACCAGAGCAAGAAUGAGAGGCAAAUACCCAGUAUUAUCACCUUGGGAAAGUCUAUUCAAUUAUUUGGUGUUUUAUACUGGCUAAUCCCACAUUGGUUUAAUUGUUGGUGGCCUUGGAGAUACCAGGCAAAGUUAUAGAAGGAAGGGAUGUCUGCUGAAGGACUCAGAUGAAGGAUCACUUUGCCAUUUCAUGUGACUGAAGAAUGUUUCAUGGGGUUACUUUGAAACCCACAGAAAUAUCUGCAUACUGGAAUGAACUGGACAUAUGACGUGAAGCACAUUGAAACAGAGUAAUGGACUUCUCCCAACUUCUGUUCUAUACAGCCAUCUAAGCCCACAGCACUAAUUCUUUCAUUCUUUCACAGCUUCGUGAAUGUGAUCUAUUAAUAAAGAAAUUCCUAUAUCAUGGCUGUGAAUCAGCGAAUGGUAUCAUCCUAAAACUUUAGAGAUUUAUGGGAAGAAACAGUAGAGAUAAGAAUGAAGAAAAAAGAAUGGAUUAGUUUCCAUUAUCCUCAUAGGGAGGAAUUGCCUACCUAGGAAUUUAAGAAGACCCCUGGCAAACAUAACAAAACCAACCAAACAAAAAGCUUGGUAAAUUCCUCCUGACUGAACAAACAGGGCCUAGAAAUGAGGAUUAGUUACUGGCAAUGAAUAUGUGUGAGGAGCAAAUUAUAAUCAUGUUAGAGCUUCCAACAAACCCUAUACAAUGUGCAAGGAUUUAUACAGAGUGGGAAUAAUCCUACAGUGUCACCCCAAAUGACCUGGGAUGUGCAUGUUGAACUGAAGGUCAUACGAAUACUGGGCUAGUUUAGAGCGGGGGUUCUUGUCUCAGUGGGUUUCCUUCUGUUUGAUUAGGUAGACAGUUUGGGGAAGGGAGAAAAGGUUUAGGAGUUGGAAAGAAUGUUUAGCCCCAAAGGAUGUUUCUGUUCAAAUCUGGCUUCUUCUGCCUGUAUUCACCAAAAUACCCCCAUACCCAUACUGUCUCUCAAAAGAUGACUAUUUCUCAAUAAAUUCAAAUUUUUUCUUUUUCUUGCAGUCUUUUCCUAAAGAUUUGAACCCUAUUAUAUUUGCACCAUAUAACCUUCAAUAGCAUAUGGGUCCUUAAACUAAACAAACAUAAAUAUCCUACCAUCACAUAAGAAUGAAUAAACAUAAAAACCUUCACCAAUAUUUCUAUAUAUAGAAUAUUUAACUGUCUAUCUAUCUAUCAAUCAAAAUAGUAAUAACAAGGAUACCAAUAUGGACAA
ensembl:lncRNA